UUAAGUUAUUAAGGGCGCACGGUGGAUGCCUUGGCACUAGAAGCCGAUGAAGGACGUUACUAACGACGAUAUGCUUUGGGGAGCUGUAAGUAAGCUUUGAUCCAGAGAUUUCCGAAUGGGGAAACCCAGCAUGAGUUAUGUCAUGUUAUCGAUAUGUGAAUACAUAGCAUAUCAGAAGGCACACCCGGAGAACUGAAACAUCUUAGUACCCGGAGGAAGAGAAAGAAAAUUCGAUUCCCUUAGUAGCGGCGAGCGAAACGGGAAGAGCCCAAACCAACAAGCUUGCUUGUUGGGGUUGUAGGACACUCUAUACGGAGUUACAAAGGACGACAUUAGACGAAUCAUCUGGAAAGAUGAAUCAAAGAAGGUAAUAAUCCUGUAGUCGAAAAUGUUGUCUCUCUUGAGUGGAUCCUGAGUACGACGGAGCACGUGAAAUUCCGUCGGAAUCUGGGAGGACCAUCUCCUAAGGCUAAAUACUCUCUAGUGACCGAUAGUGAACCAGUACCGUGAGGGAAAGGUGAAAAGCACCCCGGAAGGGGAGUGAAAUAGAACCUGAAACCGUGUGCUUACAAGUAGUCAGAGCCCGUUAAUGGGUGAUGGCGUGCCUUUUGUAGAAUGAACCGGCGAGUUACGAUUUGAUGCAAGGUUAAGCAGUAAAUGUGGAGCCGUAGCGAAAGCGAGUCUGAAUAGGGCGUUUAGUAUUUGGUCGUAGACCCGAAACCAGGUGAUCUACCCUUGGUCAGGUUGAAGUUCAGGUAACACUGAAUGGAGGACCGAACCGACUUACGUUGAAAAGUGAGCGGAUGAACUGAGGGUAGCGGAGAAAUUUCAAUCGAACCUGGAGAUAGCUGGUUCUCUCCGAAAUAGCUUUAGGGCUAGCCUCAAGUGAUGAUUAUUGGAGGUAGAGCACUGUUUGGACGAGGGGCCCCUCUCGGGUUACCGAAUUCAGACAAACUCCGAAUGCCAAUUAAUUUAACUUGGGAGUCAGAACAUGGGUGAUAAGGUCCGUGUUCGAAAGGGAAACAGCCCAGACCACCAGCUAAGGUCCCAAAAUAUAUGUUAAGUGGAAAAGGAUGUGGCGUUGCCCAGACAACUAGGAUGUUGGCUUAGAAGCAGCCAUCAUUUAAAGAGUGCGUAAUAGCUCACUAGUCGAGUGACACUGCGCCGAAAAUGUACCGGGGCUAAACAUAUUACCGAAGCUGUGGAUUGUCCUUUGGGACAAUGGUAGGAGAGCGUUCUAAGGGCGUUGAAGCAUGAUCGUAAGGACAUGUGGAGCGCUUAGAAGUGAGAAUGCCGGUGUGAGUAGCGAAAGACGGGUGAGAAUCCCGUCCACCGAUUGACUAAGGUUUCCAGAGGAAGGCUCGUCCGCUCUGGGUUAGUCGGGUCCUAAACUGAGGCCGACAGGCGUAGGCGAUGGAUAACAGGUUGAUAUUCCUGUACCACCUAUAAUCGUUUUAAUCGAUGGGGGGACGCAGUAGGAUAGGCGAAGCGUGCGAUUGGAUUGCACGUCUAAGCAGUAAGGCUGAGUAUUAGGCAAAUCCGGUACUCGUUAAGGCUGAGCUGUGAUGGGGAGAAGACAUUGUGUCUUCGAGUCGUUGAUUUCACACUGCCGAGAAAAGCCUCUAGAUAGAAAAUAGGUGCCCGUACCGCAAACCGACACAGGUAGUCAAGAUGAGAAUUCUAAGGUGAGCGAGCGAACUCUCGUUAAGGAACUCGGCAAAAUGACCCCGUAACUUCGGGAGAAGGGGUGCUCUUUAGGGUUAACGCCCAGAAGAGCCGCAGUGAAUAGGCCCAAGCGACUGUUUAUCAAAAACACAGGUCUCUGCUAAACCGUAAGGUGAUGUAUAGGGGCUGACGCCUGCCCGGUGCUGGAAGGUUAAGAGGAGUGGUUAGCUUCUGCGAAGCUACGAAUCGAAGCCCCAGUAAACGGCGGGCGGAACUAUAACGGGCCUAAGGGAGCGAAAUUCCUUGUCGGGUAAGUUCCGACCCGCACGAAAGGCGUAACGAUUUGGGCACUGUCUCAACGAGAGACUCGGUGAAAUCAUAGUACCUGUGAAGAUGCAGGUUACCCGCGACAGGACGGAAAGACCCCGUGGAGCUUUACUGUAGCCUGAUAUUGAAAUUCGGCACAGCUUGUACAGGAUAGGUAGGAGCCUUUGAAACGUGAGCGCUAGCUUACGUGGAGGCGCUGGGGGGAUACUACCCUAGCUGUGUUGGCUUUCUAACCCGCACCACUUAUCGUGGUGGGAGACAGUGUCAGGCGGGCAGUUUGACUGGGGCGGUCGCCUCCUAAAAGGUAACGGAGGCGCUCAAAGGUUCCCUCAGAAUGGUUGGAAAUCAUUCAUAGAGUGUAAAGGCAUAAGGGAGCUUGACUGCGAGACCUACAAGUCGAGCAGGGUCGAAAGACGGACUUAGUGAUCCGGUGGUUCCGCAUGGAAGGGCCAUCGCUCAACGGAUAAAAGCUACCCCGGGGAUAACAGGCUUAUCUCCCCCAAGAGUUCACAUCGACGGGGAGGUUUGGCACCUCGAUGUCGGCUCAUCGCAUCCUGGGGCUGUAGUCGGUCCCCAGGGUUGGGCUGUUCGCCCAUUAAAGCGGUACGCGAGCUGGGUUCAGAACGUCGUGAGACAGUUCGGUCCCUAUCCGUCGUGGGCGUAGGAAAUUUGAGAGGAGCUGUCCUUAGUACGAGAGGACCGGGAUGGACAUACCUCUGGUGUACCAGUUGUCGUGCCAACGGCAUAGCUGGGUAGCUAUGUGUGGACGGGAUAAGUGCUGAAAGCAUCUAAGCAUGAAGCCCCCCUCAAGAUGAGAUUUCCCAACUUCGGUUAUAAGAUCCCUCAAAGAUGAUGAGGUUAAUAGGUUCGAGGUGGAAGCAUGGUGACAUGUGGAGCUGACGAAUACUAAUCGAUCGAAGACUUAAUCAA
rnacentral:rRNA from 1 species